UAGGGAAUAUUGCACAAUGGGCGAAAGCCUGAUGCAGCAACGCCGCGUGCGCGAUGAAGGCCUUCGGGUCGUAAAGCGCUUUUCGGGGAGAUGAGGAAGGACAGUAUCCCCGGAAUAAGUCUCGGCUAACUACGUGCCAGCAGCCGCGGUAACACGUAGGAGGCAAGCGUUAUCCGAAUUUACUGGGCGUAAAGCACGUGCAGGCGGUUCGGUAAGUUGGAUGUGAAAUCUCCCGGCUCAACUGGGAGAGGUCGUUCAAUACUGUCGGACUAGAGGAUGGUAGGGGGAGGUGGAAUUCCCGGUGUAGUGGUGAAAUGCGUAGAUAUCGGGAGGAACACCAGUGGCGAAGGCGGCCUCCUGGACCAUUCCUGACGCUCAGACGCGAAAGCCAGGGGAGCGAACGG
rnacentral:rRNA from 1 species